GAAUAUAACAGUAAGCAUUCAGGGUGGUAGGCUUAUUCUAGCACAGUUGAAGUACUUACCUUCAUAAGAAACAAGUUGUUUUUUACACCCAUGAUGCUGAGGUUAUAUUUCUAAUGAUUUACCUUUUUCUCUUAGAUCAAGCUUUGUGAUUCAUCAGCCAAGGGAUGAAAAAAGAAAGAGUUAAUCUAUGGGCUGGAGCAGCUGUCUCUGAGAGGAAAAGAAAAAAACCUCAGUCACCUCCCUUUUACCUGUAUUGUGACUUGUGCCACUACGCAACGGUUGCUCUACCGGAUGGCGUCGUAACUAAUCCCUGGCACUCAGCUGACAGAGUAGUGUUCUUGUCCGGGCCGUAUCUUUGGGAGGCGCGGUUUGGUGGUUUGCCGUGUACUUGCAUGUAGAUAAGUAGGGUGUUACCUGCUCAAUUCAUACAUUUUUACAAUUGUUUAUUAAUAGUAUUUUGUUCUAGGACCAGCAUUGGUGGAGUUGGAGACGGUCACAUUCUGGCGCUGGCGCUUCAGUGCUCCUAUUUUCAUCUCAUAGAAUAAUAUCAUGACUUUUUUCAACCAUUUAAAAAUAAACUUUUGUAGACUUGAACUGGAAACACGUCUCUGUAAGUCUUUACACAAAUCUGUAUUAUAAAUGUUGUUUGUUUUUGUACUAUU